rnacentral:rRNA from 1 species
AUUGAACGCUGGCGGCAGGCCUAACACAUGCAAGUCGAACGGUAACAGGAAGAAGCUUGCUUCUUUGCUGACGAGUGGCGGACGGGUGAGUAAUGUCUGGGAAACUGCCUGAUGGAGGGGGAUAACUACUGGAAACGGUAGCUAAUACCGCAUAACGUCGCAAGACCAAAGAGGGGGACCUUCGGGCCUCUUGCCAUCGGAUUUGCCCAGAUGGGAUUAGCUAGUAGGUGGGGUAGCGGCUCACCUAGGCGACGAUCCCUAGCUGGUAUGAGAGGAUGACCAGCCACCCUGGAACAGAGAAACGGUCCCGACUCCGACGGGAGGAAGCAGUGGGGAAUAUUGCACGAUGGGCGCAAGCCUGAUGCAGCCAUGCCGCGUGUAUGAAGAAGGCCUUAGGGUUGUAAAGUACUUUCAGCGGGGAGGAAGGGAGUCAAGUUAAUACCUUUGCUCAUUGACGUUACCCGCAGAAGAAGCACCGGCUAACUCCGUG